rnacentral:lncRNA from 1 species
UUCAGGUGAGACAAGGCAAAGUGACCCGCCAAGGGAAGUUCAAACCCAACAGCUACGCCUACCGGACAAAGGCGGGCACCGUGCUGCUCCACAAGUCAACGAUCAACAGGGAGGCCUCCAAGCUGUACAGCCGCUGGCUAACGUACUUCAUGGCCGUGAAGUCCAACGGCGGCGUGUUUGUGCGGGACUCCUCGCAGGUCCACCCGCUGGCUGUGCUGCUCAUGACCGACACAGACAUCCACGUCCGAGAUGAUGGCUGGCGAGCAACAGUCUCCCUGACAGACAGCGACCUCCUGGUGCUGGAGGGAGACUCCUACACCAUCCGCCUCCUGCGUGAUUUCCGCGUGUCGCUCUCCAAGAUGGUGGAGACGUGCCUGUGCUAUGAGAUGGCAGCCAUCCCCGGGGACCUGCACCACCAGCACAGCCAGCUGCUCGACAUCCUGGUGGAUCUGCUCAAAGGCCCUCCUGGCAGCUUUGGCGCUUAGGCAGAGCUGGAGGAUUGUGUGGGGACUUGUAAUUUGUAUAAAGAUGUUCACAAAUGUUUAUUUAAAUAAAAGUUCUAUUUAUCCCUUGUGAAGUCAUCUCUCUCCAUCCUAGAAGAUUAAUGUUGUCUGAAUCUCCUGCUGUCGGCUCCGUGCAUGGGCACCGUGUAGGAAGAACCAGCGUCGCGCCGCCUGGGACGGACUGCGAGCGCCGAUGGGACCCUGCGGCGAGCCUCGUGGACCCCCCACCUCCUCCGCUCCGACGGUGUCAGUCCCUGAACUGGAACUGGAAAGCAAGGACACGGCUGCUGCCGGCCGUCCUCCGCCCCAUCCCCACAGGGCCGGGCAGAGCGUGGAUGCAGCGGCGCAGGGUGGAGAUCUCCUCCUCGUACCCCUCCGUGCCCCGAGGACGUCGGAGGGGAGGAAGCCCCGAAGGUGCCGGAGGCGACGUUUGUUCCACGCGGGAUCCGAGCCUCACAGCGGGGGCCCUGCCGCCCCACAGCGCGAGCGCAGUCGUGGCGUUAUGAGU